AGGGUUGUGGCUCAGUAGUAGAGCUCUUGCCUAGCACGUAUGAGGCACUGGGUUCAAUUCUCAGCACCGCAU
rnacentral:tRNA from 1 species